CGGGGUGUAGCGCAGCCUGGUAGCGCAUCUGCUUUGGGAGCAGAGGGUCCGCGGUUCGAAUCCGUGCACCCCGA
rnacentral:tRNA from 1 species